AUGGUUGACGCAGCUUGUUUGCCAUUAGCCAAUCGGCAUUUCUCAACGAGUUCAAAGCACUUGAAUGCAUCUAACUCGUAUUUACGACUUCACAACGUGUGUGUGUGUGUGUGUGUGUGUGUGUGUGUGUGUGUAGGCAGCAGGCAGGCAGGUAAGGAGGUGGAGGUCUGUCAGGGUCAGGUCAAGGAGGUGGGGAGUUCUUGUCAGGGUCAGGGUCAGGUUAAGGAGGUGGAGGUCUGUCCGGGGCAGAGGCAGGUCAAGGAGGUGGAGGUCUGUCAGGGUCAGAGGCAGGUCAAGGAGGUGGAGUUCUGUCAGGGUCAGAGGCAGGUCAAGGAGGUGGAGUUCUGUCCGGGUCGAGGCAGGUCAAGAAGUGGUGGGCUCUGUCAGGGCCAGAGGCAGGUCAAGGAGGUGGAGUUCUGUCGGCCAGAGGACAGGUCAGGAGGAGGUGGAGGUCUGCCGGGUGGUGGGCAGGUCAAGGAGGUGGAGUUCUGUCAGGGUCAGAGGCAGGUCAAGAAGGUGGAGCUCUGUCAGGGCCAGAGGCAGGUCAAGGAGUGGGUGGAGGCUGCCGGUGGUCAGGGGCAGGUCAGGAGGUGGAGGUCUGUCAGGGUCAGGGUCAGAGGCAGGUCAAGGAGGUGGAGGUCUGACAGUAUGUCAGGGCCAGAGGCUGAUGUAGUUUACACCCGUGGAUUGGUACACUUCACCCGGCAGGAUUUCCUGUGUCUCUCAAUCCAAUCCCCAAAGUCCCAACGCAGUAGUCACAAAUAAUGAAACAGCUGAACAGUCAGUCAUUCCUUACUCUGCUACCACCUUGUGGCGCUUUCAUGUAUUUACUAAGUGAAGUGAAAACAGAAAUGCCCAGAGUCGUGUUCUUAUCCUGUAUGGGGACACACAGAAAGGCCCGAGUCGUGUUUCUAAUCCUGGUAUG
rnacentral:lncRNA from 1 species